rnacentral:rRNA from 1 species
UACAGAGGUCCCAAGCGUUGUUCGGAUUCACUGGGCGUAAAGGGUGCGCAGGCGGUCGGGUGUGUCAGAUGUGAAAUCCCGAGGCUCAACCUCGGAACUGCGUCUGAAACUACUCGACUAGAGUACUGGAGAGGGAAACGGAAUUCACGGUGUAGCAGUGAAAUGCGUAGAUAUCGUGAGGAACACCAGAGGCGAAGGCGGUUUCCUGGACAGUUACUGACGCUCAGGCACGAAAGCAUGGGGAGCAAAAGGG